rnacentral:rRNA from 1 species
AUGCCACUGCUACCGCCUCCGCCGCCGCUGACGGCGCCUCCGGGGCGCGGGAGGCGGAGACUGGGCAGCCGACGUAGGCGACGAUCAAAGAUGAGGAACUGGGCGGAGCUGCCCCUGGACGUGAUGCUCUACGUCCUCCACAAGCUGGACCACGUGGAGCUCAUGUUCGGCAGCGCGGCCAGGGUGUGCCGCUCCUGGCACGACGCCGUGUGCGAGCCCGAGCUGUGGCGCCGCGUCGACAUGUGCGGCCGCUCCCGGCGCUUCCGGGAGACGGUCAGCCUCAACAAGGUGACGCAGCUCUCCAUUUGGUUCAGCGCCGGACAGUGCCGGGAAUUCUUCGGCCAGCAGGACCUCGACAACGACCUCCUCCUCUUCCUGGCCGACCGGGCACCCUUACUGAAGAGCCUUCAUCUUACCAAGUGUUGUGAUGUAACCAGCAAAGGAUUGACAGAUGCAAUAAAGAAAUUCCCUCUAUUGGAGGAGUUCGAGCUUUGUGAAUGUGAGAGAUAUGACACAUGGGUCUUUGAGGUUGUUGCCGCGGCUGAAGCACUUCAAACAUUUCAAUGA